UACGUAGGGUGCGAGCGUUGUCCGGAAUUACUGGGCGUAAAGAGCUCGUAGGUGGUUUGUCGCGUUGUCCGUGAAAACUCACAGCUUAACUGUGGGCGUGCGGGCGAUACGGGCAGACUGGAGUACUGCAGGGGAGACUGGAAUUCCUGGUGUAGCGGUGGAAUGCGCAGAUAUCAGGAGGAACACCGAUGGCGAAGGCAGAUCUCUGGGCCGUAACUGACGCUGAGGUGCGAAAGCGUGGGGAGCAAACAGG
rnacentral:rRNA from 1 species